rnacentral:lncRNA from 1 species
GGGGCCAAAGCCAGGACUUUGAGACCGGCGCGCGGUCAAGCCCAGGCAGCUCUCCCUAACCCUCCAGCACUGGGCAAACGCUGCCCGAUGACGCCCGCCUCGGGGGCCACGGCAUCACUGGGGCGACUGCGAGCCCGGCCGCGGAGCCGCUGGGACGCGGCUUACCUCCCGGCUGUCGCUGCUGUGUGUGUUGCCCGCGCCAGUCACGUCCCUAAUGGGACCCUCCGUUUCGGCGUCUGUAAGGCGAGGAGGACGAUGCGUCCCCUCCCUCGCAGGAUUGAGGAUUUCCAGGUCCCAGAUGAAGAGAUAAUUCUACUUACUGGAUAUAGGAUGCAUUAGAUCUUCUUACCUUAAAAAAAAAAAAAAAGGCAGCAAUGAUCAAAAUACUAAUAAAUUACUCACAGACUCAGUGUAUUUUUUCUUGGAGUAAAAGUCCAGGAUGGGUAAUAGAAUACCUGCUGUUGGCUUUUGGAAAAAUUGGUACUGUAUGUAGCAAAAUAAUGUGAAACCCAUAUGCAUGGAUAUUCUUAACAAUUUGAAGAAAUCGUCACAGCUUUCCUGGGUUGUUGAGCCUCUAAGAUGGUCUUUUCCUCUGAUGUGAUAAUAAAGUGUUUAUUCUGAACUCUACAUGCACGUAGUGUUUGGUCAGUAAACUUCUGUUACUCAUGACUCAUUACAUUAGUCAACAAAUUUUGUAUAUUUGCCUUUCACGAUGAUGAUGAUGGUAAGAGCCCAUCUACAAAAGCUUAUUAAAGACUCAGGAUGUGCAAGA